UAUCGGGCAAAGUCAUGUUAGAUGUUAGUAGUUAGUUCUCCAUCCACUCCAAGAACCACCUUAUCUCUCCAUUCACCAAACUCCACCUUAUAUCUUCAAUCACCAAUUCGUUCCCAAGAGGGAUCGAACCCGGGUCACUUCACUUAAGUGAGGACCCGGUGGCCAGUGGGCUAAGCCCCCUGGUUAAAUAUUUAGAAGUUAUAAGUUAUUACAUGAAUAUAAGUUAUAU
rnacentral:lncRNA from 1 species